ACAUUUGAAAACGAGCGCAACGCGUCCAUGUGGCUGUCCAAUUCCUGACCAGAGGCGAUAAAAGGAGUAUACCUUAAACUAACUUCUAAGGGUACAUCCAGUUCUCCCGGCUCACUCAAGCAAACGUUGGGCACUUGCUCGAUUUUCAGAAUUUCGUGAAAUGGGCGAAACCAACUCGGAAUCCGAAGGGCACUGUGAGCCCUGGGGAUUUUGGCUGUCAAUCAAAUCUACAACACAAAUUUAGCUGAGAACUGGGCGGUCUCCUUUCUUCCAAACCGCUACAGGUAAACCCUCCCCAUCCCAGACGGCACCAAUCAACAAAGACUGCUAAGUUUUACUUUAUUUUGUACAUAAUGAAGACAGUCAACUGACUAAGCAGUUCCAGAACUGUUAGUGCUCAUUAAUCAAGAAGUAAAUGAGGAGUUCCUGUGUGGCUCAGAGGGUAAGGAUCCGGCGUUGUCACUGCAGUGGCUCAGGUCACUGCUGUGGUAGGGGUUCAUUCUUUGGCCUGGGAACUUCCACAUGCCAUGUGUGCGGCCAAAAAAAAAAAGGAAAUGAGAUGAGAAAGCAAAUCUUUCAUUUCCUCCUGAACGUAUAUUGCAAGUAACACGGGAACUUGUAACAACACAAGCAACACAGGCUGGUUUAGAGAGCCCAAGAAAGGAGGGUGAGUCCUGAAGUGCUCCCGAAGGCGUGAAUCCCCCCUCAGCCAGGCACACACCCUGCUCCCAUACAUAUCUGCCCCAUGAAGUACUCUGUCCUGUCAGAUUCAAGUCCACGCAACUCUUUCAUCCCACAUUCCAGGCUCAUCAUUUGCCCUCCUUCCAAGGUGAAUAAUCCACACAGAGAAAACCAGGCAGCCCCGAAUACACUCGCCCGGCUGUGUUUCAUGUGGCCAAGCCCCAGCUCAGAUUCUGUAUAGGAAGUUCCCAUUGCUGUCAAAGAACUCUCGGCCCCUCUGCACAACUUUGUUGCUGAAGUUCUGGUCACCUGACUCCUCCGCCUCCCACUCUUUCAGUUCCUUGCCAUUCGGCAAUCCAUCUCUGUGGGUCCCUCUGGUGCCCUCACCAUCGCUGGUGGAGGACUUCUGCAGCUCUCUUGGAUGACCCAGGUCUGUGGCAAUGGGUACAAAGUUCUUUUCCUCCUUGAGG